UACAGAGGGUGCAAGCGUUAAUCGGAAUUACUGGGCGUAAAGCGUGCGUAGACGGUUAUGUAAGUCGGGUGUGAAAGCCCCGGGCUCAACCUGGGAAUUGCAUUCGAGACUGUUCAGCUAGGGUGCGGAAGAGGGAAGCGGAAUUUCCGGUGUAGCGGUGAAAUGCGUAGAUAUUAGAAGGAACACCGAUGGCGUAGGCAGUCUACUGGCUCAUUACUGACACUAAGGCACGAAAGCGUGGGGAGCAAACAGG
rnacentral:rRNA from 1 species